CCUACGGGUGGCAGCAGUGGGGAAUAUUGCACAAUGGGCGCAAGCCUGAUGCAGCCAUGCCGCGUGUGUGAAGAAGGCCUCCGGGUUGUAAAGCACUUUCAGCGGGGAGGAAGGCGGUGAGGUUAAUAACCUCAUCGAUUGACGUUACCCGCAGAAGAAGCACCGGCUAACUCCGGUGCCAGCAGCCGCGGUAAUACGGAGGGUGCAAGCGUUAAUCGGAAUUACUGGGCGUAAAGCGCACGCAGGCGGUCUGUCAAGUCGGAUGUGAAAUCCCCGGGCUCAACCUGGGAACUGCAUUCGAAGCUGGCAGGCUAGAGUCUUGUAGAGGGGGGUAGAAUUCCAGGUGUAGCGGUGAAAUGCGUAGAGAUCUGGAGGAAUACCGGUGGCGAAGGCGGCCCCCUGGACAAAGACUGACGCUCAGGUGCGAAAGCGUGGGGAGCAAACAGGAUUAGAUACCCUAGUAGUC
rnacentral:rRNA from 1 species